CCAGACUCCUACGGGAGGCAGCAGUGGGGAAUAUUGCACAAUGGGGGAAACCCUGAUGCAGCGACGCCGCGUGAGUGAAGAAGUAUUUCGGUAUGUAAAGCUCUAUCAGCAGGGAAGAUAAUGACGGUACCUGAGUAAGAAGCCCCGGCUAACUACGUGCCAGCAGCCGCGGUAAUACGUAGGGGGCAAGCGUUAUCCGGAUUUACUGGGUGUAAAGGGAGCGUAGACGGCAUGGCAAGUCUGAAGUGAAAGCCCGGGGCUCAACCGCGGGACUGCUUUGGAAACUGUUAAGCUGGAGUGCAGGAGAGGUAAGUGGAAUUCCUGGUGUAGCGGUGAAAUGCGUAGAUAUCAGGAGGAACACCAGUGGCGAAGGCGGCUUGCUGGACGAUGACUGACGUUGAGGCUCGAAAGCGUGGGGAGCAAACAGGAUUAGAUACCCUUGUAA
rnacentral:rRNA from 1 species